ncrna:Paraclostridium bifermentans ATCC 638 skipping-rope RNA
AGGUUUUGAAGUUGGAAAGAGUCCAAUACUCUACUUAAAGGUUUUAAGUAAUUGUGAGAGAUGCAGAAUUACUCGCUCUGCCAAACCUA